AGGAAUGGACCUAUGGAGACCUCAUAGCAUGUCUUACCUCAUGGACUGGUCAAGUUGUUAUUUCCAGUUGUCUGAAGAUCAGAAGUUGGCAGGAAGGUGGACCCAUCCAAGAUUGUCAUCAGCCUUGUCAGAACGAAACCAGGAGACUUGACAUGCUGUAAGCAUAGCUAUCCAUUUCAAACAGCUACAAGGAAGACUUAUUUGCACAUAAUUACUAUUUCAAGAUAAUUUCUCUUGAUCCUGACACCGCAAGGCUGGAAAAGGGCUUUGAACUGGGGCUAGGUCUUCUGUGCAGCUGGGGAGGCUUGAAAGGGCUAUGAACUUCCAUAUCUCACUGGGAGCUGAUGCCUACGCCUGGGACUCAAGAAGUGGAUAUGAGGUGCUCUUUUAUGGUUGCAGCGAGGUCCUGGUAUCCUGAAGUUGGUCUAUGCCCAGGUUUGGAAUCUAGUACAGUAGAUAUGUAUGUGUAUGGGGGGGGGUGGUGGUCAGCCAAUACUCUUCUGUGUGCAGUUUUGCUUCCACUUCCCCCUUGUCCUAUGAAAAUCAACUCUCUCUGCCUACCUUUCAAGUUGUGUUCAGCAGGAGGGCCCCCUAACUCAGGGUCUCUAUUGGAUUUUGAUGCUUGUUAUUUUGAAGUGCUUUUUAAAGAUUGGUUUAGAAGGAUAGUCAGAGUAGUUUUUGGCUUUUGCUGCUACUAAGCCACCAUCUUGGCUUUACCCCUCUGUAAAGAUAAUUUUAGCAUUGUGACUUAAAUCUAAAUUUAAAUGGUCACCAGGGAAAAUCCCAAAUAAUAAAAUACCCUAAUCAGCUAGAAAUUUUAUGGUGAUUUAAUUGAUUGUGGAGGAGAUUAAGGAGAAAGAAGAAGGAAAAGGAGUAAGGUUUUCUCUUGCAUGGCUCGUACUGGUGGGAAGAUUAGAAGAUCUAGAAAGUAAGGUUUUGGAGCAUGAAGGAGGAAGGAAUCAGACUGAACUCCAAAGUGGGCUCAGCCAAGAUGCCCAAAACUAAAUCAGCUCAAGGGCAAAUUCACUGCCAAACUGAGACAAAUAACUGCAAACACUCCAAGAUGUCAGAACGCCUAGCACACUGCCAGCCAGAGUUGCCUCUCCAGGGAAAGAGGGUGAAGAGAACCAGUGAUGUGCCUUAUGUAGACAGUUUUACAUCACUUUCCUGCAUCUCAUCUGUAGCAAUCAUAGCUUAGCUUGACUUAGGACAGCCCAGGGGUCUGUUUGCUGUUUCUGCACAUGUCUGUUGAAGGCCAUUUUUCUCAGAUACUUAAUUCUUGAGUUUGGUGCAGACCUUCCUGAUCUUGUGAAACUAAGGAGGGUAGAGAAAUGUAGAGUUUCAGAGACCUGAUUCUGUUAGUCCAAGUAUCUCUAUUGUUAUUGAUCAGGAAAUAGGUAAAUCAGAUCUUCCAAAGUAUGGUCUGAUUAGGGUGGAAUAGUUUUAAAAUUUAUACCUUGUUCCUAAAUUCUUCAGUUAUCUAUACAUCUGAUAGGUAAACUAUUACAUGCUCUCCUAAUUUGCUUAUGCUUUCACCCUUUGUGUUAAAUCAUGCCCCUGUGUUGAUUUUAUAUUGGUAUGUGGUACAAGAUUUUGCUCUAUUCCCAGACUCUGAUAUAGCAUUUUCCAAUUUUCCCAACAGUUUUUUUGUGAAAUAGUGAGUUCUUAUUUCCAAAGCUUAGAUAUUCUUAUUUUUCAAAAAAAUAAUUUCUGUCAUCAUUUAUUACUAGGUUUUGUGCUUCUAAACUAUUACACUUAUUCACCACCUAUUUCUUAGUCAAUACCAGAUUGUUUUAAUGAUUACUGCUUUGAAUUUGAAUGCUAUACCAUUUGGUGCAUACAUAUUCAGCAUUUAUAUUACUUCAUUGUCUAUGAUACCUUUUAGUAAGUUAUAAUUUCUUUCCUUAUUUGUUUUGAUAAGAUCCAUUUUGGCUUUUGUUUUCUUCGACAUCAUGAUUGCUCCUUUUUUAUUU